AAGCAUACGAAGAGCUCACUCGGAUUCCCCUUCAGGACAUCAUAAUGGAUGAUGCAAUUCGAGUUUCUGAUGCA
rfam:Ananas comosus cultivar MD2 ACMD2_Scaffold_732, whole genome shotgun sequence.